rnacentral:misc_RNA from 1 species
GAACACCUCUGUUCGAGAGGUAAAAUGGAGAUUGUAGAAAAUCCUGUCGUUAUCAAUGGUGACAUACCCCAUAUGCCUUCUGGUCAGCAUAGCGAAGACGACAUUGACAUAGGAAAAAUACAAGAUGAGAUAAGAAAUAUAAGAAAAGUUAUUCAGCUUACAAAGGAUUCUUUAGAUGAACUUAACAAAAAAUUUGGAAAUGACCAACAACCAAAUCCUAUGUAUGUUGAGGAAUAUGAAACUCUCACAAAUAAAAUCCAUGAACUACAAGUCAAAGAGGAGGACUUGCUGGCAAAGAUGCCAAACGAAGAGGACCGAUCCCCCACCUGUAGCCUGCCAGCAUCGACGUCGGGGGGCGGGGCUCAGCCCAACAUCUCAAACUCAAUACCAAGUCCUAAACCGGUCCACGGCAUCAUUAAGGCCUACCUACCAAAUGAACAGUUCUCACUGGUAUGGUUCUUUGAACCCAGGGUGCCUACUGUAGAUACCAAAUUUAAAGUGAGGAAUUAAUAUCCGCGUAAAAUCGUGAGAAGCACAUCUUGCGAAUUUUAAAAGCUCGCUUAAAUUUUUCGGAUAUAUGUUAAUUACAAGAAACUAAAAUAAAAAUUCGACAUUCGUGAUUUGAUGGAAAACCGUUGAAUCGUGGAAUUAAGUACUCGCGUAAAAUAAGGAAUUUAUUUACUCCAGUUCAAUCUUUUUGUUCCUUAUAUAAACGAAAAAAAGUAUUUUCUCAAAUGUUUUAAGAGAAAUUAUUCACUCCAAUCUCCUGUUUUUUCUCUAAGAUUAUCUGUAUUAGCAAAGCAUUUUCCAUAGUAAAUAUCAAAUUAUAUUAUUCUGAACAGUGUUUUUGUUAGUUUAGUAAAGUUUGUUCGUCUUAAUUGUUUCAAAACUCUGGAAAAUGUCUUAUUGAAGGAAUAUUUGAUAGCAUUUGGGCUUUGCAGAAAUUUAUUAUCUUAUUUCGUAUAUUAUUUUUAUUUUUUUUUUUUCAGUAUUGAAAGAUGAUAGUUUGAAUAUAGUUUCAAUUUUUUUUGGACAGGUAAAGAUAGAGCCAGGAAAGAUUCUGAAGGAAGGUCUAAAGAAAUCAAUGUCCCGGAGAUUUCUCUCCCCUGAAAAUUGUAAUGUCUAUGACUCAACGACAAAGUAAGUACUGAUUAUAUUAGUAAAGUACUGAUAACUGUAGUAAUUUAAAGUAAUGGUAAUGUUGAUGAUGCAAUUACAAAGACAAACUCUGGUCUUUGAAUACUGAUUGUUGGGGAUUUCUUCAUUGAGUUAUCUACAGAAUUGAAUGUUCAUUUAAAUUCAAUGUCUCAUAACAAUGUUUUGAUAGGGUUGUUGGUCACAAAUUUACAUAUCCUUGAAACUGUUAUUUUCACUAAAUCCACAGAAAUUGAUGCCCACAAAUAUUAAAUGAACCACAGUAAUGCAAUUGGGGGAAAAAAUUAUAUCAACUUGCCCCCCCCCCC